rnacentral:tRNA from 1 species
CCUCUCAUAGCGGAGUGGUUAACGGGCCCCACAUUGAGAUCGGGGCAUCGUGAGUUCGAUUCUCACUGAGAAGA